rnacentral:rRNA from 1 species
UACAGAGGGUGCAAGCGUUGUUCGGAAUUAUUGGGCGUAAAGCGCACGUAGGCGGUUUGUUAAGUCGGAUGUGAAAUCCCUCGGCUCAACUGAGGAAGUGCACCCGAAACUGGCAGGCUUGAGUACUAAAGAGGGUCGCGGAAUUCCCGGUGUAGAGGUGAAAUUCGUAGAUAUCGGGAGGAACACCGGUGGCGAAGGCGGCGACCUGGGUAGAUACUGACGCUGAGGUGCGAAAGCGUGGGGAGCGAACAGG